AACGCACAUUGCGCCCUCUGGUAUUCCGGGGGGCAUGCCUGUUCGAGCGUCAUUAAGUCCAAUCCAGCCCGGCUGGGUGUUGGGCGCCGCGGUGUCCCGCCGCGCGCCUCAAUGUCGCCGGCCGCGCCGACCGUCUCCUGGCGUCGUGAUGAACCAUCGCUUCGGAGGACGGGCGGACGCGCGCCGUCAAACCACAUCUCAAGGUUGACCUCGGAUCAGGUAGGGAUACCCGCUGAACUUAA
rnacentral:misc_RNA from 1 species